UCACAGCAAUUCAACAACAAAAACUGAAAAUCCACUUGAACUGAUCUCGAAUUAAACAAAUAGGUCAAAAGUGUGUGCAUACCUUCCAUAGCUCUGAAUUAGGUUUUGUUCGCUAAGCAAUCUCAAUCCAUCUUGCGUUAUAUACGGUGAAAUUCAACGUUGUAAAGUUCUAAAUUAAGAAAAAUCCAAGAGAUUUGUGACGAAGAUUUUGUAAUUGAAAUCAUAUAAACUCACCUUGAUAAGAUUUUGGCAGCGCCAUUUCAGACAGAGGAUAAUUUUUUGGAUUAGGUUUUGUGAGGAAAAUAAGGAAUCGUACCUGCUAGUGAUGUAUACCUGAAUAGAUUAACCUGAUGGAACAUUGGAUUUUAUAGGCUUGGAUGGAACGACAGAUUGAACGACUGAAGGAUCCAUUAGGUUUUGGAAGACAUCGGCAGAAUGAAGUGCGAAUGGAUGCGAUUGGAU
rnacentral:lncRNA from 1 species